rnacentral:rRNA from 1 species
UAAUACAUGCAAGUCGAGCGGACAGAUGGGAGCUUGCUCCCUGAUGUUAGCGGCGGACGGGUGAGUAACACGUGGGUAACCUGCCUGUAAGACUGGGAUAACUCCGGGAAACCGGGGCUAAUACCGGAUGGUUGUCUGAACCGCAUGGUUCAGACAUAAAAGGUGGCUUCGGCUACCACUUACAGAUGGACCCGCGGCGCAUUAGCUAGUUGGUGAGGUAACGGCUCACCAAGGCGACGAUGCGUAGCCGACCUGAGAGGGUGAUCGGCCACACUGGGACUGAGACACGGCCCAGACUCCUACGGGAGGCAGCAGUAGGGAAUCUUCCGCAAUGGACGAAAGUCUGACGGAGCAACGCCGCGUGAGUGAUGAAGGUUUUCGGAUCGUAAAGCUCUGUUGUUAGGGAAGAACAAGUGCCGUUCAAAUAGGGCGGCACCUUGACGGUACCUAACCAGAAAGCCACGGCUAACUACGUGCCAGCAGCCGCGGUAAUACGUAGGUGGCAAGCGUUGUCCGGAAUUAUUGGGCGUAAAGGGCUCGCAGGCGGUUUCUUAAGUCUGAUGUGAAAGCCCCCGGCUCAACCGGGGAGGGUCAUUGGAAACUGGGGAACUUGAGUGCAGAAGAGGAGAGUGGAAUUCCACGUGUAGCGGUGAAAUGCGUAGAGAUGUGGAGGAACACCAGUGGCGAAGGCGACUCUCUGGUCUGUAACUGACGCUGAGGAGCGAAAGCGUGGGGAGCGAACAGGAUUAGAUACCCUGGUAGUCCACGCCGUAAACGAUGAGUGCUAAGUGUUAGGGGGUUUCCGCCCCUUAGUGCUGCAGCUAACGCAUUAAGCACUCCGCCUGGGGAGUACGGUCGCAAGACUG